rnacentral:rRNA from 1 species
AUGCAGUCGAACGGUAACGCGGAGAGCUUGCUCUCUGGCGACGAGUGGCGGACGGGUGAGUAACGCGUGGGAAUCUGCCUAGUAGUGGGGGACAACUCGAGGAAACUCGAGCUAAUACCGCAUACGCCCUACGGGGGAAAGCGGGGGGUCUUCGGACCUCGCGCUAUUAGAUGAGCCCGCGUCGGAUUAGCUAGUUGGUGAGGUAAAAGCUCACCAAGGCGACGAUCCGUAGCUGGUCUGAGAGGACGAUCAGCCACACUGGGACUGAGACACGGCCCAGACUCCUACGGGAGGCAGCAGUGGGGAAUAUUGGACAAUGGGGGAAACCCUGAUCCAGCAAUACCGCGUGUGUGAAGAAGGCCUGCGGGUUGUAAAGCACUUUCAGUGAGGAAGAAAAGCCUGGGGUUAAUACCCCCGAGUCUUGACGUUACUCACAGAAGAAGCACCGGCUAACUCCGUGCCAGCAGCCGCGGUAAUACG